UACGUAGGGUGCAAGCGUUGUCCGGAAUUAUUGGGCGUAAAGCGCGCGCAGGCGGCCUCGCGCGCCCGACGUGAAAGCCCCCGGCUUAACCGGGGAGGGUCGUUGGGGACGGCGGGGCUUGAGGGCGGGAGAGGUCGGUGGAAUUCCCGGUGUAGUGGUGAAAUGCGUAGAGAUCGGGAGGAACACCUGUGGCGAAGGCGGCCGACUGGGCCGACCCUGACGCUGAGGCGCGAAGGCGUGGGGAGCGAACGGG
rnacentral:rRNA from 1 species